GCGCUAGAGCCUGUUGUCGGCGCCAUUUUGUCUCGGCAGCCGUGGUAGUAGCUCUUUCCCAUUUUAAGCUUCGCGAGGAAGGGAGCUGAAUCUUUACCCGGUUGAUUCGUUCUCGUGGACUAGGCGUUCACCUUCCGUCCCGAGUGAUAGCACAUUUUACUGUAAGGAUCUGUAGAUUGGGUGAACAUCAGAAAGUCAUUCAACAUUGUUGCAGAGAUUCUGUUCCCUAAAAUGCUGAAACUGUGAGCUUUUUUUUUAUGCGAAGAACAUGAGAACUGAAAUUAUAGUGGAGCAUCAAAGCUAACACAAACAGAUGUCAUUGAAGAAAACCAUCGUGUUUUUUAAAGGAAGAAAUAGAAAAUUUUGUACGUUUGAGAUAUUUUCAGAAAAGUAUGAAGGCUUGAAAUGAAAGAAGAUAAAUUAAGAUAUAAGGCUUGUUUGACAGUUCAACAUUUAGGAGUGACAGAAGGAAAGCAUGGGUAUCCAGAUUUAGCAGUUCCACAAGGCAAAAUUACGUAGGCAAGCUUCUUUG